AAAAUAGCGUUGGACAGAUAAGGGAAUGUCGAGCAUACCUCCAUUCAUCGUAAAUAGCGUGGUGUGUUUGGAGAGUGUGAGCAUACGUGCUACACUUACAUGGAAAUAGCGUACGAAUUUAUGAGUUAUUUGGUGUGUUUUAGAGAUUUGUUUAUCCAAUGAGUAUAUAAUUUGACUAUGUUUCAUGUUCACGAAUUGCCAAUGUAUCACUAUGUUAAGUAUGAAAAUUAUGUUAUAUGUGAAUUGUUAAAACAUGUUUAAAUCCUAACAUGUCUCGUCUGUACAUAUAUAUUUAUGUUGUAUGCAUGUGUACUCACUGAGCUUUUCCAAGCUCACCCUUUUACUUUACCUUGCAGAUAAACAGUUCCCGGGUUAACAAGGAGGGCGGCAAAUCGGUGAUCCAUCGCAAGGCAUUUUCUUUGAGUAUGUGUGUUGAGCUUUCAAGCUCCGAAGUGAAGGAAAUGUGGGUCGUUUCAAGGGUUUAGUACUAGAAUUAGACUUAAACUUUUUAAAUAAAAUUUUCAACGGGUUGUAAACUGUAACACCCCUAACCUGUAUCCGUCGUCAGAUUAGGGUUACGGAGUAUUACUAAUCAAUUGAAACCUUUAAACAUCAUAAAAUUCAAUAAUUUCAAAAAUAUCAUAAACCAUUC
rnacentral:lncRNA from 1 species